UGAUAUAGAGCGUUAAGUCACGACCAUUCGGACAUUGGCCAUCGUUUAUUUAUGCGCGGAUGCUCGCGAAACAUCGAGCAGGUGAUCGACGUCGUGAUAUUGUCAGUUCCUUUCGCAGUUCGAUCGAUCUUCUUCCAAGUUUAGUUCUCUAUUCUCGAAGUUCGAAGGAAUUUCCUCGAAUUGUCGCGUAGCUCAAUAGAUAUCGAUCUUUUGAUAUAUCGAACAAAUCAUUAUGGUGGACGUUGACAUAAAACUCUCGAGAAGCAACAAGAGCCAAGCCUGGGGCUUUCGAUUAUCCGGAGGAGCUGACUUUGCUUUUCCGUUGACUGUCGUCAGGGUAACGUAUCGCACGUAUACAUAAAAAUUAACAUUCAUUCGAAUCGUGACACGCAUACAAAAUUUGCUUAAUUUCCAUUAAUAUCUCGUAUUAUCGUACGAUUAUAAAAUCUAAUACAUCAUUCUCUUGAACUCGAACCGCGGAUCACGCGAUUAUUAAGCGUAAUAGUACGCAUUUGAUGCGUAUUUAGAAUAAAUUUUCGCGUGAAAUAUUCAGAUUUCGUGCUUUAGAGAUUUUUAUCGACACCACGAUUCGUAUCGAAUCGCGUAACCUCGUUUUCCCUCGGCCUGAAUCCUGUGCUCGGUCCAAGGGAAUAUCGUUCUCAGAAAAGGAAAGGAAUCAUUAAUCGAAUCAUAGAUGAGAAAAAUACUCGCGUAUUCCUUGAGAAUAUUUGCAAAUUCUGAUCGACGAUCGUUUUAUCGUUUGUCUGGAUUAUUUCUUUUCCCGCACUUUUUUUUUUGUUACAUACUGAUUUCGAAUAAGGAUUAAUUUUCUUUCUAUCGAACGUGAAUCUUGUAAAUUAUAAUAAUUAUUAUGGAAAUUUUUAGUUUAGUUUUCAAUUCUAGAUAAUUAUUUUGAUAUAAAAAAUAAUAAUAAUCAUGUUUACGUAAAAUGGCCAUUGCUAUUUAUUUGAUUAAAAUGUACUUUCUUCUUUACAAGGUACUCCUCGGAGGAUUAGCCGAUAAGGCGGGUUUACAAGCUGGCGAUAUAGUGGUCAAAAUAAACGGGGAAACUGUGCAGCAUUUGAGGCACGUCGAGGUUCAUGAUCGCUUUGUCAAAGCUGGAAACGAAAUUACGCUGUCUGUCCUGCGAAAUUUAAAAUUCGAACGAAAAGUUUAACGAAAAUGGUUAUUGACACGUGUCUUGCUAUAAGAUAUCGAGCGAACGAUACGAUCCUAUCGAAAGAAUUAUUUUAACGUUGAAUAAAAUAAUGUACCUUUUUUUCCAAAUAUUUCCUCCAUCUUGAAUUAAGUUAGUCGUUAAUAUAUACCUAUAUAUCUUAUAAUUGGAAACUAUAAUAUAAAUAUUAUCGUUUGUUGGCCGAUCUUCAUGAUGCUUCUGGCAUCGGUAAUCAAGGUCUGUUAAAACAGGAUUGCAACAUCAUGUUAUCGUUACGUGUCACCGAUUGACCCACAUUGUAAAAUACAAUUUGUCAACUAUUGAUCCGGCCUCGUCUACGAUCUUAUCUUUUAUAACAAUGAGUCAUCAAUUUGUUGAAAUGACAUUUUUAAAUAUAAAUUUAACUAAUCGCUAUGUUUUAAUGAUAAAUCGAGAUCCGAAAAUUAUUUUGUAGACUUGUAUCAAUGGACGAGAUAUAAGAGAGUAAAUUAAAUGGAAUUUUAUCCCA